ACGCUCGACACCUACGGGAGGCGCAGUGGGGAAUAUUGCACAAUGGAGGAAACUCUGAUGCAGCGAUGCCGCGUGAGGGAAGAAGGUUUUCGGAUUGUAAACCUCUGUCUUUGGGGACGAUAAUGACGGUACCCAAGGAGGAAGCUCCGGCUAACUACGUGUCAGCAGCCGCGGUAAUCUGAGCGGGCUGGCAAGGC
rnacentral:rRNA from 1 species